GUUUGAUUAUGGCUCAGGAUGAACGCUGGCGGCAUGCCUAAUACAUGCAAGUCGAACGGAGUGAAGCCUUCGGGUUUCAUUCAGUGGCGAACGGGUGAGUAAUACGCAGGGAACCUGGCCAUGGCAGGGGGAUACACUCUGGAAACGGAGCAUAAGACCCCAUAGGCAGUAAGGCGGCAUCGCCUUACUGUUAAAGAAAGCUGAAAGGCUUUGGCGAUGGAUGGACCUGCGGUGCAUUAGCUUGUUGGUGAGGCAACGGCUUACCAAGGCGAUGAUGCAUAGCCGGCCUGAGAGGGCGGACGGCCACACUGGGACUGAGACACGGCCCAGACUCCUGCGGGAGGCAGCAGUAGGGAAUUUUCGUCAAUGGGCGCAAGCCUGAACGAGCAAUGCCGCGUGAGUGAGGAAGGUCUUCGGACUGUAAAGCUCUGUUGCCGGGGAAAAAGGGGAAAUGCAGGAAAUGGCAUUUCAUGGAUGGUACCCGGCCAGAAAGCCACGGCUAACUACGUGCCAGCAGCCGCGGUAAUACGUAGGUGGCGAGCGUUAUCCGGAAUGAUUGGGCGUAAAGGGUGCGUAGGCGGUCUGUUAAGUCUGAAGGCAAAGGGAUGAGCUCAACUCAUUUAUGAUUCAGAAACUGGCAGACUUGAGGACAGGAGAGGGCGGUGGAACUCCAUGUGUAGCGGUAAAAUGCGCAGAGAUAUGGAAGAACACCAGUGGCGAAGGCGGCCGCCUGGCCUGUGACUGACGCUGAGGCACGAAAGCGUGGGGAGCAAAUAGGAUUAGAUACCCUAGUAGUCCACGCCGUAAACGAUGAGGAGCAGGUGUUGGGAGUGAAAUCUCAGUGCCGAAGCCAACGCAGUGACUCCUCCGCCUGGGGAGUAUGCACGCAAGUGUGAAACUCAAAGGAAUUGACGGGGGCCCGCACAAGCGGUGGAGUAUGUGGUUUAAUUCGAAGCAACGCGAAGAACCUUACCAGGUUUUGACAUCGGAUGCGAAGGCGCAGAGAUGCGCUGGAGGCUAUCAUCCAGACAGGUGGUGCAUGGUUGUCGUCAGCUCGUGUCGUGAGAUGUUCAGUUAAGUCUGGCAACGAGCGCAACCCCCGUGGUAUGUUACUAACGCAUUUGAGCGAGGACUCAUAUCAGACUGCCGGUGACAAACCGGAGGAAGGCGGGGAUGACGUCAAAUCAUCAUGCCCCUUAUGACCUGGGCUACACACGUACUACAAUGGCGUCUACAGAGGGAAGCGACCCUGAGAAGGGAAGCGAAACCGGAAAAGGGCGUCCCAGUUCGGAUUGAAGUCUGCAACCCGACUUCAUGAAGAUGGAAUCGCUAGUAAUCGCGGAUCAGCAUGCCGCGGUGAAUACGUUCCCGGGCCUUGUACACACCGCCCGUCAAACCAUGGAAGCCGGCAACGCCCGAAGCCGGUGGCAUAACCUUUUAGGAGUGAGCCGUCGAAGGCGGGGCCGAUGACUGGGGUUAAGUCGUAAAAAGGUACCC
rnacentral:rRNA from 1 species